rnacentral:rRNA from 1 species
AUUGAACGCUGGCGGCAUGCCUUACACAUGCAAGUCGAACGGCAGCACGGGUGCUUGCACCUGGUGGCGAGUGGCGAACGGGUGAGUAAUACAUCGGAACAUGUCCUGUAGUGGGGGAUAGCCCGGCGAAAGCCGGAUUAAUACCGCAUACGAUCUACGGAUGAAAGCGGGGGACCUUCGGGCCUCGCGCUAUAGGGUUGGCCGAUGGCUGAUUAGCUAGUUGGUGGGGUAAAGGCCUACCAAGGCGACGAUCAGUAGCUGGUCUGAGAGGACGACCAGCCACACUGGGACUGAGACACGGCCCAGACUCCUACGGGAGGCAGCAGUGGGGAAUUUUGGACAAUGGGCGAAAGCCUGAUCCAGCAAUGCCGCGUGUGAGAAGAAAGCCUUCGGGUUGUAAAGCACUUUUGUCCGGAAAGAAAUCCUUGGCCCUAAUACAGUCGGGGGAUGACGGUACCGGAAGAAUAAGCACCGGCUAACUACGUG